rnacentral:rRNA from 1 species
UACGGAGGGUGCAAGCGUUAUCCGGAUUCACUGGGUUUAAAGGGUGCGUAGGUGGCUUUGUAAGUCAGUGGUGAAAUCUUAGAGCUUAACUCUAAAACUGCCAUUGAUACUGCUUAGCUUGAAUCAAGUCGAGGUGGAUGGAAUAUUACAUGUAGCGGUGAAAUGCUUAGAUAUGUAAUAGAACACCAAUUGCGAAGGCAGCUUACUACACAACGAUUGACGCUGAGGCACGAAAGCGUGGGGAUCGAACAGG